rnacentral:tRNA from 4 species
GCAGGUAUAAGUUAAUUGGUAGACUCACUGAUUUCCAAUCAGUUCGUGCUUGUUCAAGUCAGGCUACCUGUA